GAUGGAGCAUCCCAUCUUUGUCCAACAAGUACGAUACAGAGAAGAUUAGCAUGGACUCUGUAUAAGGAUGACAUGCAAAUUUGUGAAAAAGAAACCAAGUCU